rnacentral:rRNA from 1 species
CCUACGGGAGGCAGCAGUGGGGAAUAUUGGACAAUGGACCAAAAGUCUGAUCCAGCAAUUCUGUGUGCACGAUGAAGGUCUUCGGAUUGUAAAGUGCUUUCAGGUGGGAAGAAGAAAGUGACGGUACCACCAGAAGAAGCGACGGCUAAAUACGUGCCAGCAGCCGCGGUAAUA